UUACACUGAAGCCACAUUCCGCAUUUGCUGUCCAAAGGAAGGUGUUGUACGUCGUCUCGGGAGGAUAUCAUCGUACGGUUUCUUGGGAUUCUAAUCGACGAGCAUCCUGCAUAUAGUUGUUAGAAGUUGUCUGAUUCUUUGGAGAGAAAAAAAAGGUUUGCCGUAACAAGGAAAAUGCGUGAGUGCAUUUCCAUCCACGUGGGCCAGGCUGGAACACAGAUGGGGAACUCUUGCUGGGAACUUUAUUGCUUGGAACAUGGGAUUCAGCCCGACGGCACGAUGUCCUCCGAAAAAGUUGUCGGAGACGACUCCUUCAACACCUUCUUCAGCGAGACCGGGGCGGGAAAGCACGUCCCGAGGGCGGUGUUUGUCGAUCUCGAAGCUUCGGUCAUUGGCGAGAUAAGAACGGGCUGUUACCGCCAGCUCUUCCACCCUGAGCAGCUCAUCACCGGCAAGGAGGACGCCGCCAACAAUUACGCUCGAGGCCACUACACAAUAGGCAAAGAAAUCGUCGACAUAGUCCUCGACCGAAUCCGGAAAUUGGCCGACAACUGCACCGGCCUGCAAGGUUUUUUGAUCUUCCACUCGUUCGGCGGCGGCACCGGGUCUGGCUUCACUUCCCUGCUGAUGGAGAGGCUGUCUGUGGACUACGGCAAGAAGAGCAAGCUGGAGUUCGCCAUCUACCCCGCCCCGCAGGUCGCCACCGCCGUCGUCGAGCCCUACAACUCCAUCCUGACGACGCCACACCACCCUCGAACACUCCGACUGCGCCUUCAUGGUCGACAACGAGGCCAUCUACGACAUCUGCCGCAGGAACCUCGACAUAGGACGGCCCUCUUAUACCAAUCUGAACCGCCUGAUUGGCCAGAUCGUCUCGUCCAUCACGGCGUCUCUCAGAUUCGACGGUGCCCUUAAUGUCGACCUGACGGAGUUCCAGACCAACUUGGUGCCCUACCCCAGGAUCCACUUCCCCCUCGUCACCUACGCCCCUGUCAUCUCGUCAGAGAAGGUGUACCACGAGCAGCUCUCGGUCUCGGAGAUCACCAACGCGUGCUUCGAACCCGCCAACCAGAUGGUCAAGUGCGACCCCCGCCACGGCAAGUACAUGGCGUGUUGUCUGCUGUACCGCGGUGACGUCGUGCCCAAGGACGUGAACGCCGCCAUCGCAGGCAUCAAGACGAAGCGCAGCAUCCAGUUCGUGGACUGGUGCCCCACGGGCUUCAAAGUGGGUAUCAACUAUCAGCCGCCGACCGUAGUUCCCGGCGGAGACUUGGCGAAGGUGUCGCGCGCCGUGUGCAUGCUCUCGAACACCACCGCCAUCGCCGAGGCCUGGGCGCGCCUCGACCACAAGUUCGACCUGAUGUACGCCAAGAGGGCCUUCGUGCACUGGUAUGUGGGCGAGGGCAUGGAGGAGGGCGAGUUCACGGAAGCCCGCGAGGACCUGGCGGCGCUCGAGAAGGACUACGAGGAAGUGGGUUGCGACUCGGCGGAAGCAGGAGAGGAGGACGGCGAGGAGUACUGAGUUGUGUACAUUUUCUAAUGGUUUUGAAAGCUGUGCGCGAAUGUGGUUUUCUUUAAUUAAAUAAAGUGAAAGGUUGUUUU